rnacentral:rRNA from 1 species
GACAGAGGGUGCAACCGUUGUUCGGAAUUACUGGGCGUAAAGGGCUCGUAGGCGGCCAACUAAGUCGGACGUGAAAUCCCUCAGCUUAACUGGGGAACUGCGUCCGAUACUGGAUGGCUUGGAUUUGGGAGAGGGAUGCGGAAUUCCAGGUGUAGCGGUGAAAUGCGUAGAUAUCUGGAGGAACACCGGUGGCGAAGGCGGCAUCCUGGACCAAUAUUGACGCUGAGGAGCGAAAGCCAGGGGAGCAAACGGG